rnacentral:piRNA from 1 species
AGAUGUAGCUUCAGUAAUAGUGA